GGAGAGGUGGCAGAGUGGUUGAAUGUGGCGGUCUCGAAAACCGUUGUACGUGCAAGCGUACCGAGGGUUCGAAUCCCUCUCUCUCCGCCA
rnacentral:tRNA from 1 species